rnacentral:tRNA from 1 species
GGUAGUGGCUCAGCGGUAGAGCGCUGGUCCAGCAUGUUCGAGGCCCUGGGUUCUAUCCUCAGCACCA